rnacentral:rRNA from 1 species
AGAGUUUGAUCCUGGCUCAGAUUGAACGCUGGCGGCAGGCCUAACACAUGCAAGUCGAGCGGCAGCGGGAAAGUAGCUUGCUACUUUUGCCGGCGAGCGGCGGACGGGUGAGUAAUGCCUGGGAAAUUGCCCAGUCGAGGGGGAUAACAGUUGGAAACGACUGCUAAUACCGCAUACGCCCUACGGGGGAAAGCAGGGGACCUUCGGGCCUUGCGCAAUUGGAUAUGCCCAGGUGGGAUUAGCUAGUUGGUGAGGUAAUGGCUCACCAAGGCGACGAUCCCUAGCUGGUCUGAGAGGAUGAUCAGCCACACUGGAACUGAGACACGGUCCAGACUCCUACGGGAGGCAGCAGUGGGGAAUAUUGCACAAUGGGGGAAACCCUGAUGCAGCCAUGCCGCGUGUGUGAAGAAGGCCUUCGGGUUGUAAAGCACUUUCAGCGAGGAGGAAAGGUUGAUGCCUAAUACGUAUCAACUGUGACGUUACUCGCAGAAGAAGCACCGGCUAACUCCGUGCCAGCAGCCGCGGCAAUACGGAGGGUGCAAGCGUUAAUCGGAAUUACUGGGCGUAAAGCGCACGCAGGCGGUUGGAUAAGUUAGAUGUGAAAGCCCCGGGCUCAACCUGGGAAUUGCAUUUAAAACUGUCCAGCUAGAGUCUUGUAGAGGGGGGUAGAAUUCCAGGUGUAGCGGUGAAAUGCGUAGAGAUCUGGAGGAAUACCGGUGGCGAAGGCGGCCCCCUGGACAAAGACUGACGCUC